GUAGGAAAUCUUGUUCAAUUUUCCGCAAAACGCGCAAAACUGAAAAGAUUUUUUACAG
rnacentral:pre_miRNA from 1 species